rfam:Proteus penneri ATCC 35198 genomic scaffold Scfld2, whole genome shotgun sequence.
AGUUAUAAAACUAUGAAUACUAUCGUCCUAGUGAUUAGCCUAAUUAUUAUCAGCGUGGUGGUGAUUAUUAACCCACCGUGCGGGGCUGCACUAGGACGAAGAAAGGCUAACUAAACUAGCCGGAUCUCUUAAAAACCCCCGCACCGAAAGGCGCGGGGUUUUUUUUGAGCCAGAGUUUGAAAAAGAGAUGAAAUAGAAAAUAAAUUUAAAUUAAACAAGAAGUUAAGAU